AGCCCCACCCCGGGUCUCGGUGUUUGCGAGCUCCAGGUACGUGCCCGUCUGCAGACGUGCCGAGGAGGUGGUGUGAUUGCUUUAGCGCCGUCAUUUUCAACCGUUUAUAAUCUUCUUCUGUGUCUGCAUAUUUUCUCUGUGCACAUUAUUCAUCAGAGUAAAAAAAGGAACUAUGAAAACCUCGACCAACUGUCCUAUGACAACAAGCGCGGACCCAAGGUAUAUAUGCAUGGACGUGCACGCCACCCACCGACUAGCGAGCCCCGGCCUGCGGUGCCUCAGCCACUGGGUGCUUUCUGGCCCCACCGCGCCGAGCCGAGCCGCAGGCCUGAGCAGUGAGGAGAGACAGGUGGUGAGGCAGGCAGCAGGCAGGCAGCAGAGGGCAGGGGUGAGCGGUGUGGGUGCCCAUAGCCCACCCGCCGUGACCCUGGCCCGCAUCCACAAGACAAGCACGGUCACAGGAGGCGCUGCUCUGGGAAGUGCAUGAAUCUCCAGGUCCGCCAGGGUUUCCUAGUGGAACCCAGGGAGGGAGCCUGCCCACCUGGUCACUUCAGAGUUUGGGCCGCUCCUAUAGGAGCAAGAGGAAUCAGGUCUGAGCUGAGAUCUCCCAAGGUUUUGGAAAAGUCAGCCCCAUCUCUGUUCCCAGUUGCAUUCCAAAACUUUUCUAUUUCCUGUUCGCUGCACGUCUCUUUCUAAGUCUCGGUCCACUUCAGCUUGCAUGCUCAGUGCAAAAAAAAAAAAAAAAA
rnacentral:lncRNA from 1 species